rnacentral:lncRNA from 1 species
GUGAGUGUCGUCAAAAUUUUAUCCAUUUUUUAUUUUCUUCACAUUUUUAGUAAAAUGACUAUUCAGACAAGCUUAAAAAAUAGAUAAAUUGGUUUCAUAACAUUUGGAUUCUAGAGGCUUGUCAUGCACUGCAAGUCUACAUGUUGAUCCAUUUGAACCAAUGCAUGAGCUCAGUCGAAUUCACAUCAAUGUCCUUUAACACUGCAGGCAAUGAAACAAAAGGAGUUGCACUGGUUGGGAGGCAUGGAGAGUUCAAGUACUAUCUGGGAUACUACUUACAUUGCUAAUAAGUUAACGUCUGGUCCUAAUACUAGGAUUCCCAGCUAUCUUAGUUUCAAGCCCUGUAUGCUGAUUUGAUUGAAGGUGGAAAUGGGACUCCUUUUGGUGCUUAAGUAAUAACUCAAUGAUAGCGGGAACUGGUUGAAUUAUCAAUAUACAUUUGGGCAUAGAGCAUGAGGAUGUAUGAAACUUCUGAACACUUUCAGGUUGUCUAUAAAUUAACAGUCUUGGCCACUUAAGAAAAGUGAAUUGCAACUAAAUUGUUGAAAAUGCAGUUCUACGAUUAAGUACUUUGCUGAAAUUUUCAGGUUGUCGGACAAACUGCAACUAUGAACAGUAUGCCUCAUUUGACUCUUGUGGGGGUAGAGCGAUAAAAUAAACAUGUCAUCACUAGGCGAGUUCAAACACUGGAUGGCAAGGCGAUCAUCUAUUUGAAUACACUUAUUCGUUUCAAGGAGGUAGAAGGCGGUGCAGAAGCUGCAGUUUUGACCCCACUUGUGCUAGCCAAUUUUUUUUCUUUGAGAUUUGUGCCAGCCAAUUUGGGUAUGAUGCUCACGGAGGCCAUUCUACGUAGCUGAUGGACUGUCAUGUCUAUAUAAUUCUUAUAUAGCUGACAAUUCAAUCAUGAAAUGCUAGGGCUCCAUGGAAGGAAAAGGAAAAUGCGUCUGCAAAAUCAGUAGAUUUUGUGAUGGAAGGAUUGGUAGAUUUGAUAUUAUCUUACAACCUAUAAGAACACCGAAUGUGUGAAACAACAUUCGUUAUUGUCCAGCAACGCGACCAUAAAUCCACAAUGAUUGCAACACUGUAUUUAUUUGACCAUAUAUUUUCAGAAUAUUUCAUGUUUUGUUUAUAUAUACUUAUGAUACUUAGUUUAAG